CACAAGAGGACCCGGUCCAGGUACAGUGAUACACAUGCUACAAUACAAGCCGUUUACCACAGAAAGGAACGGAAGUGAGCUGGAUUCACGCGACAUCUUCACAUGUGACAGUGACAGUCAGCACAUCAGCCAGGCUCAUAUGGCGGAUGUGAGGCUCAAUGGGACCGCGCCAUGUAGGCUACAUGGACUCUGCGCCUUUGCACCAAGUACAAUAGCUCUUAAAAGCCCUACACAACAGAGACUCCCCUCAGAUAUCCUUACACUACUACACCAGUAGAUGGCGGGAGAGAGGCCACUUCGAGGAUCACGUUCGUGAACUGAGCGAAUCAGUGCAGUGACCGGGAUGUUUUUCUGCACUUGAAAGACUCGUUUAAAA